AUAAGCGGGGGAAACCCCGUCUAAUACCGCGUAACGCGGCCUAGGGACAUCCCAAGGCCGCCAAAGGGAGCAAUCCCGGCCACGGAUGGGCAUGCGGCGCAUUAGCUAGUCGGCGGGGUAACGGCCCACCGAGGCGACGAUGCGUAGGGGUUCUGAGAGGAAGGCCCCCCACACUGGUACUGAGACACGGACCAGACUCCUACGGGAGGCAGCAGUGAGGAAUAUUGGUCAAUGGGCGCGAGCCUGAACCAGCCAAGUCGCGUGAGGGAGGACGGCCCUACGGGUUGUAAACCUCUUUUGCCGGGGAGCAACGGGCGUCACGUGUGGCGCCACUGAGAGUACCCGGAGAAAAAGCAUCGGCUAACUCCGUGCCAGCAGCCGCGGUAAUACGGAGGAUGCGAGCGUUAUCCGGAUUUAUUGGGUUUAAAGGGUGCGUAGGCGGAUCGUUAAGUCAGUGGUCAAAUUGAGGGGCUCAACCCCUUCCCGCCAUUGAAACUGGCGAUCUUGAGUGGAAGAGAAGUAUGCGGAAUGCGUGGUGUAGCGGUGAAAUGCAUAGAUAUCACGCAGAACCCCGAUUGCGAAGGCAGCAUGCCGGCUUCCGACUGACGCUGAAGCACGAAAGCGUGGGGAUCGAACAGGAUUAGAUACCCUGGUAGUCCACGCGGUAAACGAUGAGCGCUAGGUGUCCGGGGGGAAUGGCCCCUGGGUG
rnacentral:rRNA from 1 species